GAUCAAGCUACAAAGGGCGCACGGUGAAUGCCCUGGCACUAGGAGCCGAUGAAGGACGUGAUAAGCUGCGAUAAGCUACAUGUAGGCGCAUAUAGCCUGUGAUAUGUAGAUUUCCGAAUGGGGAAACCCAUCUAGUUAUGCUAGAUACUGUAUACUGAAUUCAUAGGUAUAUGGAGGUACACCUGGGGAACUGAAACAUCUAAGUACCCAGAGGAAGAGAAAGAAAAUUCGAUUCCCUAAGUAGCGGCGAGCGAAAGGGGAAGAGCCCAAACCAGGAACUUGUUCCUGGGGUUGCGGAUAGAUCAUAACGCUUUGAUUUCUUUAGUUGAAGAGAACUGGAAAGUUCCGUCGUAGAAGGUAAUAACCCUGUAGGCGAAAAGGAAAGAAAAGUAGAUCUACUCCAGAGUACCACGAGACACGUGAAACCUUGUGGGAAG
rnacentral:rRNA from 1 species